UGUGUACGUUCUCACGUCACAGGAAGUGAAACAUCCACGCAUAAAUGCUGCCUCCUGCCCUUCUCCUUUAAUUCCAUCUCUUUGACUCCUCCUUGUGCCUAUUUCUCUCCACUUCAUCUCCCAAAGCCGUGCCUCAAGCGCUUCAUCUCUUUCUCCACCCACGCACACCUACAUGCACACAAACAAGAGGAAAAGGAAACCUACAGGAGAAACAUUCCCUGGUCUAAAUUGUUUAGUUCUUCACCGUUUCCAAAUUUCAGCUACAUGGACGCCGGUGCUCUAUCCCGGUGAUUUAGGCGAUCCCUAUUUGAGUCCUCGCGCCAAAAUAUUCUGCUCCAUGUCGCAGCUCCAUUCAGAGAAGAAAGAACGCGAUCCAUUGACCACACGCGGAGAAUUUUGCAAGUCCGUAUACACUGUUCGUCAAGUUCAUCGCACCAUCCCAUCAAAAUUGGGAGUGGCGAUGUUGGACAUGGAGAUAACAGGUUACGAAGAAGGACUCAACAAUGAAGGCAUGCCUCCUUCUUUGAUCAUACUUAUCCUAUGUUUUACAAAAUUGCAUUGUGUUUUAUGGCUACUAUAUGCAUGCUAUUUUAUCUCGUAGCUAGCGUGUCGAUUGACACAUUACCCUGAUCCGCUUGUCGCUUAUUCACUUGACACCUGAGUAGAAUUAUAUAGUAUUCUGGUAGAGUAGAAAUGCUUAGCCAUGCUUAUUACCCUAUAGGUUCUUUGUUGAAUGAUCUUUGAGUCAUUGACACUUGAAACUUAUUGUUGAGCUCGCUGAGCUAGGCAAGUUGGCCUUGUUGACCUUCUCUAUCCUCUUCUACUCUGGGUGAAACUUACCAUCUGAAUACUGGUGUGGGCGACAGCUGAAUCAACUAUUGAAGGAGCGAUUGGCUGCCCUUCACGAGCUGAAGGGGGCAAUCAGUCGUCCGUGCCGCAUGAGGCCUAAUAAGUCUUGGAUUUGAAGAUUGUGAUAACAGUACAGCCACAUGCUAUAUGGGCACUGGCUUGGUCAAGUAAGCUAUUCAGCCUUAGGUGCCGAUGUCGCCGUACCGCAGAUGGGAUAGCUGCCUUGCGAGGAGUAUCCUCAGCACAGAUGGGGGGACCAGUUUGAGGACGUACUCUCAGUUCCGUGCGCCAGACCCGGUGGGCAUGUCACAUCUUUCGGGGAUCUAGUCCAAAGACCUCGUCACAAUCUCCCUGCCGGUAUACCAGAUGGUGUACUACGCUAGCGAUGGCUAGUGGCAACAAGUUGGGAUUGUGUCGUGUGGGUAAAGUGUACAACCUCUGUAGAGUGUAAAACUAUUCGAAUAGUCGUGUCCACGGUCAUGGACGACACAUGAAUC